CACGUAGGAGGCGAGCGUUGUCCGGAAUCAUUGGGCGUAAAGAGCGCGCAGGCGGCCCGGCAAGUCGGGUGUGAAAUCCCGGGGCUCAACCCCGGGACUGCAUUCGAUACUGUCGGGCUAGAGGUAGGUAGGGGAGAUCGGAAUUCCUGGUGUAGCGGUGAAAUGCGCAGAUAUCAGGAGGAACACCGGUGGCGAAGGCGGAUCUCUGGGCCUUACCUGACGCUCAGGCGCGAAAGCGUGGGGAGCGAACAGG
rnacentral:rRNA from 1 species